GAUGAAGAACGUAGCGAAAUGCGAUAAGUAAUGUGAAUUGCAGAAUUCAGUGAAUCAUCGAAUCUUUGAACGCACAUUGCGCCCCCUGGUGUUCCGGGGGGCAUGCCUGUCCGAGCGUCAUUACAACCCUCAAGCUCAGCUUGGUGUUGGGCCCCGCCGCCCCGGCGGGCCCUAAAGUCAGUGGCGGUGCCGUCCGGCUCCGAGCGUAGUAAUUCUUCUCGCUCUGGAGGUCCGGUCGUGUGCUCGCCAGCAACCCCCAAUUUUUUUCAGGUUGACCUCGGAUCAGGUAGGGAUACCCGCUGAACUUAAGCAUAUCAAUAAGCGGAGGA
rnacentral:misc_RNA from 1 species